GCAGAUGUACGCUAAUUUGGUUAAACAUCUUCCCUUCCAUGAGACGAAGUUUGAGGUAAGGAAGCUAUCUGGGUUCAAAUCCCAGCAUCUGCACCA
rnacentral:tRNA from 1 species